GACGAUCUAUACUGCUGGGUAUGGCUGAAAUGAUCAAAGUCCCACAGCUGAAGCCCAGUAUCAACCCACUACGCUUGAAGGUGGAGAACAUGUCAACUACUCCUAUUAUUUAGAAGCUGCCCACAGUUGAGGAGAUUGUGGAGAUCAUGGAAAAAAAUAAUGGUUCCUAAGAAGAAGGCACUACCUGCUGGAAGAUCCCGUUUUGAUGGGCUAUAUAUAGGUCCUACAAAGGACUGAGAAAGGCAGAGAGAGAAUUGUAGAAAGAACAAUUUCUGUAUAUUCAGCAUUGCUAAUAAAUUAAAGCAUUGGUUUUCUCUUAUAAGUUUUGCCUCUAAUUUCAAAUUCAUUAUUAUUUGAUCUGUCAAAGUUCUGUGCAUUAAAAAUUGAGAUUUUGUUCGGAUCAAGUUUGGUAUCAGAGCGGUUGCGUUAAAAACGCUGCACUUAAUCAACGUGAAUGGUACUGACCAAGUCAGGUUACCAAGAAACAGGAGAGUCUCUAUCCAUCCUUAAAAUACACCGAAAACCAACAGGGAAAGCUGCAAUGAUAGGAGAAGAGGAAAUACCUGGGAAGGAAACCAACUUGGCUCCUAAAGUAGACAGGUUAACAGAGCAGCUUGGUGCGGUUCUUUCAUGGAUUCAGGCACAACCAUCUUCAUCAGCCAGGGGAGAGCAAAUAGAUGGUCACGAAUCCACUCCACCACGGGCUCCAGUCACAAGGGAGGCCGAUAAAAUAGCUAGGCCAAAAGACCUGAAGGAAGAUGAGGAUGGCGAAGAAGUUGAUGCCAGUACAUUCCCUUUUCCUGAAAAAACUAUACGACCCUUCAAAGUAGAAGCAAGAGUGGAGAUUCCUACAUUCGAUGGUGCAGUGGAUGCAGGGAAACUGGAUUCUUGGAUUGACCAGCUGGAGACUUAUUUUACCCUUUAUGGGUUCAUUAGUAAAGAAAAGGUUGCAUUUGCUCGACUGAAGCUGACCAAUCAUGCAUUGACAUGGUGGAAUGCAUACCUCAAGUCUGAGGCAGAACAAGAAGUUACCUGGAAGGAGUUCACCCGACUUCUUCGACAAGAAUUCUACCCAAUGGGUUACUCGCAAGAUAGAUGGACUCGAUGGCACAAUCUCAGGCAACGUCAUGAACAAACAGUCCAAGAAUACACCACUGAAUUUCGACGGCUGGCAAUAGCUCUGGGUAUCUCGCUCAGGGAUGAAGACAUUUUUACCAAAUUUGUGGCUGGGCUACAUCGGCAAAUUCAAGGGGAGAUGCGGCUCUACCAACCAAUGAAUAUAUCUCAUGCCAGCGACAUAGCCUUGGCGAUUGAACAGAAAAACAAAACUGGACCAUCAAGAACUCUGGGAAACGAGAAGAAAAAGAAUGGAAGCCGUCCUCCAAAGAAAUUAAAUCAGGGUAACUCAUCUAACUCGACAAAAUCUGAUAAAUAUUGUGACCAUUGUAAAAUUACAGGUCAUGACAAAGGAAAAUGCUAGAAAUUACACCCUGAGUUGUUCCCUGCAAAAUGGAAUAAGGAAGAAAAGGGAAGGCGAACCAUGACCUCCACCUCAGUAAAUGAUAAGAUAGAGUUGGGACAGGUUGAAGAGGUGGAUAGGACUCUGUCUUUGAUGGCAAUGCCGAAGGAGACAGCUUCCAACUCCCAUUCCUUGACUGCUGAAAAAGAAGAAUUGUUCUCGGUACGAAUUCAGGUGAAGCAAGAUGUCAUUGGAGCCAUCGUAGAUACGGGAAGUCAAAAAAACUUGAUUUCAACAAGCUUGGUACAAAAGCUUGGACUUGAAACAACUCCGCAUCCUAAACCAUAUCCUUUAGGGUGGAUUCAAAAGGAUAUAGAGCUAAAGAUUGAUCAACAGUGUAAGUUUCGGUUUGCCAUCACUAGUCAAUAUAUUGAUGAAGUAACCUGCGAGGUAGUUCCCCUUGAUAUUUGUCAGGUAAUCUUUGGAAGUCCCUACCUAUGGGAAAGAGAUGCCGUGUACUAUCGACGAGCCCAGAAGUACGAAUUCGUGAAAGAUGAAAAAAAAUAUGUGGUUAGAAAAGAUCAAGCCUCUCCAAAAGUUGAUUUGGUCACAACAUGUCAAGAUCGAAGAAUGGUAAAUGCCUGUCAAAAAUUUGUUUUGUUGAUGGUGAGACAACAAGAGCCUGAAGCCACAGUUUCUCCAUUAGUUUCCUCUGUCCUGGACAAAAAUGGUAGCUUACAGGCUCUGCUUGAGGAAUUCCCUGGGCUAUUUUCCGAAGUCCAGAGUUUACCUCCUCGAAGGGCAGUGGAACAUGAAAUUCAAUUAGUUGCAGAUUCGACAUUGCCCAACCUAGCCAUGUACCGAAACUCAGUAAUGGAGAAUGAAGAAAUCAAGAGGCAAGUUGGAGAAUUACUGGAAAAGGGCAUGUUAAAACCCAGCAGCUCGCCAUGCGGUUCUCCAAUUGUUUUGGUGCCAAAGAAAGAUGGAGGAUGGCGGAUGUGCAUCGACUAUAGGGCACUCAAUAAAAUCACCAUUAAAAACAGGUAUCCUCUUCCUCGAAUUGAUGACUUACUUGAUCAAUUAAAGCAUGUGACUGUAUUCACCAAGCUGGAUCUAAAGUCCGGACAUCACCAAGUCCGAAUUAGGGAAGAUGACACAUGGAAGACAGCUUUCAAGACUCGACAUGGAUUGUUUGAAUGACUGGUGAUGUCAUUUGGAUUGUGCAAUGCACCUUCCACCUUCAUGCGACUGAUGAAUGAUGUGCUCAGGCCCUUCACCGAUGAUUUUGUUGUUGUCUACUUAGAUGACAUCCUUAUCUUCAGUCGUAGUUGGGAGAAACAUGUACAACAUGUGCGACAAGUUUUUGAAACACUGGCACUUCAUCAUUUGCAGCUUAAUCGCAAGAAAUGCGAGUUUGGACAGCAAUCCUUGAUAUACCUCAGCUUCAUUGUGGGAAAUGGAGAGUUACGAGUUGACCCCGCCAAGGCAGGGAAGCAAUUUGUGUGGGACCAAGAACACGAGGAUGCGUUCAUUCUUUUAAAGAAGAAGAUUAGCGAGGCGCCAGUGCUUGCAUUACCCAACCUACAAAAAGCUUUUGAAUUAGAGGCAGAUGCAUCAGGUUUUACCAUGGGAGCGGUUCUACUGCAGGAAGGGAAUCCGGUGGCUUACCAUUCAGAACUAUUUCAAGGAGUAGCCCAAAACUACUCUACUUAUGACAAAGAAAUGUUUGCCUUGCAUCAAGCAGUGAAACAUUGGAGGCCUUACCUGCUUGGGAAUGAGACUAUAGUGCAUACUGACCAUCGGCCUCUCCAGUACUUGCAAACACAAUCCAAGUUACAGCAGGCAAGGCAUAUGAAGUGGAUGACCUAUCUUCAACAAUUUAACUUGGUGAUCAAGUACAAAAAGGGCAUCCAGAAUAAAUUGGCAGAUAUGCUCUCUCGCCCACCGGUGGCAACAUUGUGUUUAUCUAUCUUUAUGCUGGUUUAGCCGAUUCUUCAUGAUGAAUAUUAUGACUGGUAUAAAGAUGACCCAGAUUUUCAAACCCACAUGGUAAAUGUACAGGCUGGGAAGGCCACUGAUUUUGUGCUACGAGGUGGUCUACCAUACAAGGGGUACUCCUUUGUAUCUCCCGAGCAGCAGGGAGGAUCCAAUACAUCCGUGAAGCACACACCUCCAAAAUUGCUGGACACUUUGGGGUGACAAAAACAUUGCAAAAUUUGCUUCGUUAUGUGUUCUGGCCAAAGAUGCAGCAUGAUGUGGCGCGCUUUAUAAGAGGUUGCAUGUUGUGCAGCACCUCCAAGCCAUCAAACCGAAAAGUUGGGCUUUAUAUCCCACUUCCAGUACCAGCCAGACCUUGGCAGAGCAUAUCUAUGGAUUUCUUAGGAGGUUUGCCAAGCACCCGGAGAGGUAGUUUGUAGUGGUUGACAGGUUUAGCAAGAUGGUGGUACUCAUGCCCUGCAAGAAAACCAUAACCGGAGAAGAAGCUGCAAGACUCUUUUUCGAAAAUGUGUGGAAAUUAUUUGGGCUCCCAAUUCAAUUGUUUCUGAUCGAGAUAGCCGCUUUUUGAGUAAAUUUUGGUGUGCAUUGUGGGAGAAGAUGGACACCAAGUUAAAGCGGAGCACAGCCUUUCACCCUCAAACCGAUGGGCAAACAGAGGUUGUCAAUCGGACGGUCAUCCAUAUGCUGCGAGGUUACAAUGCAAAACGUCCAAAGACUUGGGAUGAAAGUGUGCCAUUUCUGCAAUUUGCUAUCAAUCAUGUGAUACAUGGCUCCACUAACAAGUCACCAUUCGAAGUAUGCUUGGGUUUUCUGCCAUAGAGUCCUUUUGACAUGGAGUUUGCUAUUGAAUCAACAGAAUCCUCAACUCAAGGUCAGAAUGAUGAAUGCAGGGCAUAUAAAUUUAUAGAACGUAUUCGAAAGGUUCAUCAGGAGGUGGAGCAGCAGCUGAAUCGGGCCUAGCAAAAAUACAAGAUGCGCCAUGAUAAGCAUCGUGUAAAAGGAAAUUUCCAAGAAGGAGAUCUUGUUUGGUUACACUUGGGAAAGGAGCGUUUACGUGGAGAAGGAAAGAAAUUGAAGCCAAUUCGAUAUGGGCUAUUUAAAGUUCUUCGUCAAAUUGGGGAUAAUGCUUGUCAGUUAGAGCUACCCGUUUAUAUGGAGAUGUAUUCUGUGGUUAACGUUGAUAAGCUAAAGCUUUUUGAGCCCUCUUUACUUGAUGAUGACCCACAGGAAGUCUUACCUACAGUUGAGGAGUUAGUAGUUGCCAGGGAGGUACCACUGGUGGAAGAUUCCACUGUAGAAAGCAAGACUAAUACUACAAGGCGGGGAGUAAUUCAGUCUUUUCGAAUUGGACAUCGGGGUCAGUUUCCCAGACAAGAAAAAUGGUUUUCCAAGGAGUCUGGAUAGAUACAGUUCCCUCAUUUAUUCUCUUUGAACCAGCAGGUGCUAGUUCCUGCUGAAUAGGGAAGCCGUGAUCUGGGACGAUCUAUACUGCUGGGUAUGGCUGAAAUGAUCAAAGUCGCACAGCUGAAGCCCAAUAUCAGCCCACAACGUUUGAAGGUGGAGAACAUGUCAACUACUCCUAUUAUUUAGGAGCUGCCCACAGUUGAGGAGAUUGUGGAGAUCAUGGAAAAAAAUAAUGGUUCCUGAGAAGAAGGCACUACCUGCUGGAAGAUCCCGUUUUGAUGGGCUAUAUAUAGGUCCUACAAAGGACUAAGAAAGGCAGAGAGA
rnacentral:lncRNA from 1 species